rnacentral:lncRNA from 1 species
AAAUGGUUAACCGGAUUGGAACCAUAACCAACCUGAAUAAAUAUGGUUCCAAAUUUAACCAACCUGAAUAAAUAAAAAUGGUUAACCAACCCAUUUGGUUCCAGUUAAUAUGGAUUGACCCGACAAUUAACCAACUAUAUUGCCAGCUCUACCAACAACCCAAAGCCAAAGCCCCCGACUGUGAGCAAGCAGAUAACACACUCACAAAAGUGGCUG